UACGGGGGGAGCAAGCGUUGUUCGGAUUUACUGGGCGUAAAGGGCGCGUUAGGCGGCCUCCGCAAGUCAGUUGUGAAAUCUCCGAGCUUAACUCGGAAAGGUCAACUGAUACUGCGGGGCUAGAGUGCGGAAGGGGCAACUGGAAUUCUUGGUGUAGCGGUGAAAUGCGUAGAUAUCAGGAGGAACACCGGUGGCGAAGGCGGGUCUCUGGGCCAGUAACUGACGCUGAGGAGCGAAAGCGUGGGGAGCGAACA
rnacentral:rRNA from 1 species